UACGUAGGGAGCAAGCGUUGUCCGGAAUCAUUGGGCGUAAAGCGCGUGUAGGCGGUUACAUAAGUCUGUUGUGAAAGUCGGAGGCUCAACCUUCGAAAGCCGAUGGAUACUGUGUGACUUGAGUACGGAAGAGGAGAGUGGAAUUCCUGGUGUAGCGGUGAAAUGCGUAGAUAUCAGGAGGAACGCCGGCGGCGAAAGCGACUCUCUGGCCUGUAACUGACGCUGAGGCGCGAAAGCUAGGGGAGCAAACGGG
rnacentral:rRNA from 1 species